rnacentral:rRNA from 1 species
UACGUAGGGUGCGAGCGUUAAUCGGAUUUACUGGGCGUAAAGCGUGCGCAGGCGGCCCGUUAAGACAGGUGUGAAAUCCCUGGGCUCAACCUAGGAAUUGCGCUUGUGACUGGCGGGCUCGAGUACGGUAGAGGGGGGUGGAAUUCCUGGUGUAGCAGUGAAAUGCGUAGAGAUCAGGAGGAACACCGAUGGCGAAGGCAGCCCCCUGGGCUUGUACUGACGCUCAUGCACGAAAGCGUGGGGAGCAAACAGG